UGCUUUUAUUUCUCCAGUGGAUAAUAGCAUUUUUUUCAUGCAGCCAACCAAACAUCCUUGCAAAUCCCCUGCCAGCAUAAAACCACAUUAAACUAAUCCCCCUGAAACUAGUAAAACAACGUGCUGUAGUGUUGCUGCUGGUGGAGCACGAAGCACUGACCGUGCACAAGGUAACCCACACACGAAUCACAUCGCUACACCUCAACGUACAAGAACUGCUUCAAUGAAAUGUCGCUGAUUCCAACAGAUUGAUGCUUCAAAACAAGAACCUACAACUUGUUAACGCAGUAGUAGGAAGAAGCAACACGAACCGUACCGAAAAGACAGAGAUGGAUGUUGGAAUCGUCUUUAAACGUUAACGUAACGUAACGUUACGUUACGUUAGCAUGAUAAGAAGAAGCGACCGCCAACGUUUGAUCAUCGCGAACUCAACGGUUAGCGGUGGACUUCACCUACACCAGGAAAUAAAGGGCAGCGAGAGUAACUCUGUGGGGUCUAUUCAUUUAGAAAAUGACUCGUAAACAUGUCAGUUAACGCUGGUUUCAGCCAUGUUAAAUGUUCCCGUUGAAACUCCGAAGAAGCCGAAUGAGGCGCGGCGGGACAUGAAAGUAGUUUAGCUAGGUGAUGAUAACAGGGAUACCGUGGAGGGAGACAGGCGCCAUGAAGCGCCUCUCACAGCGAAGGACUCUCCACCUCCUGUUCUGCCCUGGGGGAGACCUCCAAGUGCAAACAGUGUCUUUGCCGUACGCUGAGUGCCUAUAGCUCACAGUACAGAGCUGAUCAACUACACAAGCAACAGACUGUGCUCGUGUCCAUAUGCUAAACGGGCUUGGCAGAGAAGCACAGUGUCCAUAGCGCCGGGCAGCUACAGCAGGCUAACUGUUCGGUUUCCCAUGCAGGCAUGAGAUCAAGCCAGUACGGAUUCUCUGGAGGAUUAGUGGCGAGCUCUUCUGAGGAGAAUUACCCUGACACAGCCAUCUGGACAGCAUAACAUUGCCCACUGGACCAGCUAUAGUCCAGCCAACUCUGUAGCUACCCUGAUGUUUAGGAGCUAUCGUCCUGUCAUCCUUCAACUGUGACCUGACUAACAGCAAAUCAUUCAGACCCUGUAGACUAUCCAUUCAGCGGGUACAUAAUGAAUGAAAGCAUGCUUAAAUUGACAGGCUGUAUUUUGUCAGUGAUCUAUUUAUGUGAUGUUUGUGCUCUCAUUAAAGGCACAAUAUGUAGAAAAUGA